CUUAGUGGCAGACGGGUGAGUAACAUGUGGGUAUCUACCCUUUGGCCUGGAAUAACACGAGGAAACUUGUGCUAAUACCGGAUAAGUCUUUACGGAGAAAGCUUUAUGCACCAUUGGAUGAGCCCGCACUUGAUUAGUUUGUUGGUAGGGUAAUGGCCUACCAAGACUAUGAUCAAUAGCUGAUUUGAGAGGAUGAUCAGCCACAUUGGGACUGAGACACGGCCCAAACUCCUACGGGAGGCAGCAGUGGGGAAUCUUGCACAAUGGAGGAAACUCUGAUGCAGCGAUGCCGCGUGAGUGAAGAAGGCCUUUGGGUUGUAAAGCUCUUUCGUCGGGGAAGAAAAUGACUGUACCCGAAUAAGAAGGUCCGGCUAACUUCGUGCCAGCAGCCGCGGUAAUACGAAGGGACCUAGCGUAGUUCGGAAUUACUGGGCUUAAAGAGUUCGUAGGUGGUUGAAAAAGUUGGUGGUGAAAUCCCAGAGCUUAACUCUGGAACUGCCAUCAAAACUUUUCAGCUAGAGUAUGACAG
rnacentral:rRNA from 1 species